AGAAAGGGAGUGUGACAUGUGCGCACAAAUGAAAAAUGUUUUAACAUGCUUAGAAGUUCUUUCAAUUUAAAACCUUCUAAGUCAUGUCAAGUAUGAUUGGAUAAACUGUCUUUAUUAAAAUAUAAAAUGUUUCAGAAAAUGCAUGCCCACUAAGUACAUUAGUACUUAGCCCAAAAAUACUUUCAAAUGUUUUCAGGUUGGCUGGCCGGUGCUGACGGGACGGAGCUGAGGCUAG
rnacentral:lncRNA from 1 species